rnacentral:lncRNA from 1 species
UACUUUUAGAUUGUGGGGUUGAUAUAGUUCAUUGUUUUCCAAUUAAAGUUACGUUAAGGUUUGUAGUUUGUUGAAGCACUUUUCCUCGGAAAUGAGUCACAUGAGGGUUUGGUGAAGAUAAUGUUGUUCCUUACUAAUUAAUGUUAUUUAUUGUUCUUUCAAGUUCCAAGUACUAAUUUGAAGUAAGACAUAAGAGACAAGCUCGAGCCCACACUCAACG